rnacentral:snRNA from 1 species
CUUGAUUUUAAACAUUAGCUUUAAUACAAUAUUUAAAUCUGUUCUUAUCAGUUUAAUAUCUGAUACAUCUUCUAUUUGAGGACUAUAUAUUAAAUGGAUUUUUGGAACAGGGAGAUGGAAUAGGAGCUUGCUCUAUCCACUCCACGCAUUGGCCUGGUAGUGCAGUACCUACAGGAACGGUGCAUCUCCC